GACGAACGCUGGCGGCGUGCUUAACACAUGCAAGUCGAACGGAAAGGCCCUGCUUUUGUGGGGUGCUCGAGUGGCGAACGGGUGAGUAACACGUGAGUAACCUGCCCUUGACUUUGGGAUAACUUCAGGAAACUGGGGCUAAUACCGGAUAGGAGCUCCUGCUGCAUGGUGGGGGUUGGAAAGUUUCGGCGGUUGGGGAUGGACUCGCGGCUUAUCAGCUUGUUGGUGGGGUAGUGGCUUACCAAGGCUUUGACGGGUAGCCGGCCUGAGAGGGUGGCCGGGCACAUUGGGACUGAGAUACGGCCCAGACUCCUACGGGAGGCAGCAGUGGGGAAUAUUGCACAAUGGGCGGAAGCCUGAUGCAGCAACGCCGCGUGCGGGAUGACGGCCUUCGGGUUGUAAACCGCUUUCGCCUGUGACGAAGCGUGAGUGACGGUAAUGGGUAAAGAAGCACCGGCUAACUACGUG
rnacentral:rRNA from 1 species